rnacentral:rRNA from 1 species
AGAGCGAACGCUGGCGGCAGGCUUAACACAUGCAAGUCGAACGGACCUUUCGGGGUUAGUGGCGGACGGGUGAGUAACACGUGGGAACGUGCCUUUAGGUUCGGAACAACACAGGGAAACUUGUGCUAAUACCGGAUAAGCCUUUCGAGGGAAAGAUUUAUCGCCUUUAGAGCGGCCCGCGUCUGAUUAGCUAGUUGGCGAGGUAAAGGCUCACCAAGGCUACGAUCAGUAGCUGGU